rnacentral:rRNA from 1 species
GACGAACGCUGGCGGCGUGCUUAACACAUGCAAGUCGAACGGUGAAGCGCCUUCCUUUUUGGUGGGUGUGGAUGAGUGGCGAACGGGUGAGUAACACGUGAGUAACCUGCCCCCUUCUUCUGGAUAACCGCAUGAAAGUGUGGCUAAUACGGGAUAUUCUGGGUCUGUCGCAUGAUGGGUCUGGGAAAGAUAUUGUUUCGGUGGGGGAUGGGCUCGCGGCCUAUCAGCUUGUUGGUGGGGUGAUGGCCUACCAAGGCGGUGACGGGUAGCCGGCCUGAGAGGGUGGACGGUCACACUGGGACUGAGACACGGCCCAGACUCCUACGGGAGGCAGAAGUGGGGAAUAUUGCACAAUGGGCGCAAGCCUGAUGCAGCGACGCCGCGUGAGGGAUGGAGGCCUUCGGGUUGUGAACCUCUUUCGCCAGUGAAGCAGGCCUGCCUCGUUUGUGGGUGGGUUGACGGUAGCUGGAUAAGAAGCGCCGGCUAACUACGUG